rnacentral:tmRNA from 1 species
GGGGCUGACUUUAGCUUUCGACAUUGGGAAUUUAACAGACUGUACCGGCAUGUCGACCUCUGACGUAAUCAGAAUCAAUAAUUGCAACUAAAAUUGCUUCGCUGUUUAAAAGCUUCAGCUUUUCUCCAGCACCAGCUCUUGCUUAAUUAGCAGAGCCGCACCGGUUUAGGUUCCUACUUGUAGACUUGGUGUGUCAUAUUUUGUAGGAUAGGGCUUCUUUGCUGCCAUGACGGCGAAUCCCGAAAUUUUUCAUGGCUCACGUGUGCGUAUGUUUGUUCUAUUUUGAGCGACCAUGUGAUCAAAUUGAAUAGGACUAUGCAUGUAGAUGGACAGUUCGUUACUCGAUGGACCCGGGGGCAGUACCCGGCAGCUCCACCA